GACCGCCGCUGGUGCAAGUUGGGAAACCACGCACUGGAGGAACGUCCGGACUGCACAGGGCAGCGCAGGAGCUAACGGCUCUCCACCGUGAGGUGAGGAUCAGAGCAACAGAGACGAGCCUAUUAAGUUAGGGUGAAACGGGCAAUCUCUGCGCGCAGCAACACCAAGUAGGCCAGCGUUGACUUGACCCGAGGAGCUGGCGGGUAGGUGGCACCGAGCCGGGUGGGCGACCCCCGGCCCAGAUUGAUGGCGGUCACGUUGU
rnacentral:RNase_P_RNA from 1 species